rnacentral:rRNA from 1 species
GUAGUCAUAUGCUUGUCUCAAAGAUUAAGCCAUGCAUGUCUAAGUAUAAACAACUUUGUACUGUGAAACUGCGAAUGGCUCAUUAAAUCAGUUAUAGUUUAUUUGAUGGUUCAUUGCUACAUGGAUAACUGUGGUAAUUCUAGAGCUAAUACAUGCAUACAAGCCCCGACUUCUGGAAGGGGUGUAUUUAUUAGAUAAAAACCAUUUCCUAUGGUGAAUCAUAAUAACUUCUCGGACCCCAUGGCCUCGUGCCGGGGGUGCUUCAUUCAAAUAUCUGCCCUAUCAACUGUCGAUGGUAGGAUAGAGGCCUACCAUGGUUGCAACGGGUAACGGGGAAUUAGGGUUCGAUUCCGGAGAGGGAGCCUGAGAAACGGCUACCACAUCCAAGGAAGGCAGCAGGCGCGCAAAUUACCCAAUCCCGACACGGGGAGGUAGUGACAAUAUGUAACAAUAUACGGCCUCAAAGUCGUAUAAUUGGAAUGAGUACAAUUUAAAUCCCUUAACGAGGAACAAUUGGAGGGCAAGUCUGGUGCCAGCAGCC